rnacentral:lncRNA from 1 species
UAUCCAUGUUGUUAGUGAUUAUUUAUGGUAAAAAUAUCAUAUCAAUUAUUUUCUUUUCCUAUUCAACUUUAGACAGAUUCGUGCAUUCCUACUUUGGAAGUUGAGUUAUUUUCAUGCUUUGAUUGGCUACCUUUUACUUUUAUAAGGAAAUAAUAUUUCCUAAUGGUAAGUGUAAAAUUAAUAAGUAAAAGUGUGUACUACUUCUUUCCUUAUAAUCUUCUAUUGUUGAUUGUAAUAUUAGUUGAUNNNN